AUUGACCAUUGUCCCUUAGUAAUCAUUUUCCUUCCCUCCUCCCCUUUGAAUUUUUCUCCAUUUCAUUUUGGGCGCACUGUUUCAAAAACGGAGAGGGGCAGAGAGGGAGCGAUAGGUAGAGGCGUUCGAGCGGCGAAGGAGAGGAGGCGAUUCCGUCGGGUUCUUGUCGUGUCCGAGAUCCAUCUCUGCUCGAGCUUGAUUUGCCCUGUCUCUCCCCCUUUUCUCGUGCGAUUUAGGGCUCGCCCGGUUGGUUGUUCUUGUCUCUCCCCCUUCUCUCGUGUGAUUUGCCCUAUCUCUGUUGGUGUAGAUUCUAGAUCGAGAUCUGGGGAUUGUUGGUAGUUGUAUUUUGAUGCGUUUUUGUUGCUCUUUUGUAGAUUUAGCCGUUGGUUCUGCUUGUAGUUUGUGUAGUUUCCCAUGGAUGCCCCUCUGCUCGUGUCAGAUGUAUGAAUUCGUGUGUUAGUUCUGGCUCAUAUGCUUCCCCUGUUAGGUUUUAGGUGUUCUUGUUUUGAUUCCCUCGGUGGAGGCGCUGGUAGGUUGUUCGUUCAUGUAAAUUUGUUUAGAUGUUGGUCAUCUGCAUAGGGUUAGGCUUUGUGAUUUCUGCUGGUAGUAUUGUCUUUGUUUGUAUUGAUUCACCUGGCUUGCCCUCUGCAUGUGUAGUUCUACCAUCUGGUAGGGUUAGGGUUUGUGAUUUUUGUUGUAGUUGUAAGUGUUCUAGCUUGCUUUACUAUGUUAUUGUGUAGCAGAUUUACAGGGGAUUGGUCUGGCUCGCCCUCUGCAUGUGUAUCCAAUUUAGGUACCUUGUUGAUAGUAUUCUCUUCAACAUUUGGUCUGCAUGCUUCUUAUUUUUCAUGAAUUACAGUGGAUGAUAACUCAGAAUUAAAAUGUAAUGUGUCCCAUAAUUCCCCGAUUACACUGUAAAUUUACUAACUGUAAUAUACCCUAGAAUAUUACUGUGGAUUUUAACUCUAAUUUACUGUGUAGUUUGUAUGCUUUGUCUCUAACUUUUUUAGGUUAUUUUUACUCUAUAAUUGUGAGAUAGUUUACCCAGGAAUUUGCACUCUAAAUUUACCUCUGAGUUGUGCUAUAUUACACUGUAAUAUACCGCACAGUUACUGUGUCAUUUCCAUGUAAAUCAUUGUAUUUGUCAGUUAGAUUUCUCUGAUUUUUCAGCGUUAUUUCAAUGCUUUAGCACUGUAAUUCUUCUAGUUCCUUCCUUAUUUUCUGUGUUAGAUCAUCUCGGUUUAGUAUUCUUGUGUAUUCUAUUUAGCAUUUUGUCUGUACAUGUUGUGUAAUUUUCAUGCAUCUUUUUUUCAUGAAUUACAAUGGAUUUUUCUCUGAUUUACAUUUUAAUGUUUUCCAUAAUUCCAUAAUUCCCCAAUUACUCUAUGAUUUACCAACUGUAAUACUACCUCUGUCAGGAAUUACUUGUUGCUCAAAUGGAUGUAUCUAACACUGUUUUGCAAGAACUUUCUGGUGAUGAAGGAGAAAGUAAAAUGCUUGAAGAGGAAAUUAUGAUCUGCUGGGCGAAGGAAUGUGGUUAGUCCUCCUUUUUUUGUGGGGUGGUUAGUCCUCCUUGAUUGUUCCUAAAGUUAUAUCUGAGUAAAAUGCUCCGUGAUUUAUUUUCCUUGCAUGUAAACAUUUCCCACAGUAUUUUUUGACUGAUGUAGUUCUGUACUUUUGAUGUUAUUAUCAUUUCUUUUUGCUUGCACUUUGCAAGUUAUUUUCUUCUGCUUUUUCCAGUAUAAGUUAUUAGUCUUUUUCAAUGACUUUUUCAUCUUGUUCAUGUGAGUCCAUUUUCUUCGUCAUUUUCCACUACAAGUUAUUAUCUUUUUCUUCUAUUUUGUAGGAACAUAUCAAUGUCUCUUCAUUGAGGAAUCCAUUGUCUCCGUCUUGUUCAUGCGAGUCAUCUGAUUCUUUCCUUUCUCCAUUAUUGUGGUCCAUGCUUGAGUUUGUUUUACCUGCUGAUGUAGUGGGAUCAAUAUAUCCAGUCACCUGCAAUUUUAAUCACUUGUUUCAGUUUUGUUUUUCUUAAAGCUUUCAUCUAUGAUAUGUAUUUGUUUUUGAAUUUUUGUGUGCCUUCCUAAUCCAAAUUCAUGCUAUAAAACAGGUUUGUCUCCUAGGGAUUAGAUUCCGCUCUGCCGUCUUCGCUUACUGUUGCUACGUCAUGCAUUUCUUCCAAUGUCUGCAGAGUAAGUUAAAAUGUACGCUACUGCUUUAUUUUCUCAGGUCUUAUAAGAGUUCCAAUGUCUACUUACAUUUCUAUCUAUUCUUGCGCUGUUGAUGUUAUUUGCAUUGGUCUUGGAGUUUUCCUCGUUAUUUUCAGUCAUCCUUGUAGGCCCAUCUCAUGAGUGUACCAGCAAGCAACAGGGCAAUUUAUUUUUUAUAGUUGUUCUUUACUCAGAUUGGUAGCUCUGCGGUAAUUGAAUUUGCUUUUACCUUGUAUAUAAUGUCGGAAUGUAGAAGAGCGGUGAAUGAAAAUGUGUCCUGUAACUUUUGUUAGCAUUUAUAUUUUUAUAUAUGUAACAUCUUCCUAUAGUUUCUGCUAGUGUAACUCACAUUUAGGAUGAGUUCUUCCUGUGACAAUCUCAGUAGGUCCUCUUCAGUUGCUGUCUUCAUCAUACUCCUCAUCUGGCAUAUUUGAAAAGAAAAUGUCAAUAUUAACAAUAUUGAGCAACAAACUGUUUAGAUAUAUAUGAAAUUUGCUGGGUACUUUCACUGUUGUGCUUUGUUUAUUUUUGCUGUAAAUAGCUGGGUAUUCCCUGUGUAAUAUAAUGGGAACUAUCACCGUAAAUUAUAGUGGACUAGCUCUGGAGUUUCACUGUAUUUUGCUGGGUUUUUACAGCACAAGUUCAUCAUUGCAAAUCCUGCAUUAUUUUUGUGCAAUUCCCUAUGUGAGUGUUCCGUAUUUUUCAAGGGUAUUUACAAUGUAGGCACUUUCACUAUAAUUCUUGGGUAUUACAGUGUUUGUUUUUGGUCACUUACACUAUAAUUUCUAGGGGUUUUACACUAUAAUUCAGUGUAAGCCCUUAGUUUUACUAGUGUUUUGGGUACUUGCAGUGUAUUUACUGUGUAUGUAAUCUGUAUUUUCUAUGGUAUUUACACUGUAAAUCUUGGUACACUAUAAUUCAGCGUAAGCUCAUCAGUUUUACUAGUGUAAAUCAGUGGGUACCUGCAGCGAAUUAGUGUGUAUGUAGUCUGUAUUUUCUAGGGGAUUUACACUGUAAAUCUUGGUCACUUACACUGUAAUUCAUCAAUUUUACUAGUGUAAAUCAGUGGGCACUUGCAGUGUAAUUACUGUGUAUGUAAUCUUUAUUUUCUAGGGGAUUUACACUGUAAUCUUGGUCACUUACACUGUAAGUCUUUGGGUACUUACAGUGUAUGUACAGUGUAAUUUCUAGGGGAUUUUCUUGGGCGGUUACAUUGUAAUUCCUAGGUUUUUACAGUGGUAGUUCACCAGUUUUGCAAGUUACCUGGGUAAUUGCAGUGCCAUUUCCUGUGUAUGUGGACUGUAAUUCUUGGUAAUUUACAGUGUAUGUUCACCAGUUUUGGGUACUUGCAGCCUUGUUUUCGUUUCAAACUUUACACUAAAUAUUUGUCAAUUUUUAUUGUUUCUAUGCUAUCAUGUGCAUAUUUUGUUUGUAUUUGCUGUAUGCUUUUUCAGAGUUUGCAGUGUGAUUUUCAGCUACCUCAGGUUUGUAUUUACCAUGUUUUUUGCCACUGUAAUUAUAGACUUCAAAGUUUCUGUAAUUACAAAGUUUCACAACUGCCAACGAUCACACAUUCUUUAGUUUCUCUGAUGAUUUUGUUUCUCAGUGUUUCCAUGUAAGAGAUGAAGCUGGUGAAGGGGUUGAAGAAUUGGGGUGGGAGUAGAAGUGUUCCUGCUCCCCUGAUCUGGGGAUCGUCUCUUGAGUGAUUUUCCUGUGAUCUCCCUCAUUGUUUGGCUGAUGUUCUCUUUAGUAGAAGUGUUCUAGGUUCAGUUGAAACUGGGUCAGAGUUUAGCCCGACCCGUUUUGUUAGAAAUACAGAACAUACAAUUA